rnacentral:rRNA from 1 species
UACAGAGGAUGCAAGCGUUAUCCGGAAUGAUUGGGCGUAAAGCGUCUGUAGGUGGCUUUUUAAGUCCGCCGUCAAAUCCCAGGGCUCAACUCUGGACAGGCGGUGGAAACUACCAAGCUGGAGUACGGUAGGGGCAGAGGGAAUUUCCGGUGGAGCGGUGAAAUGCGUAGAGAUGCGGAGGAACACCGAUGGCGAAGGCAGCCCCCUGGGCCAAUACUGACGCUCAGGCACGAA